rnacentral:rRNA from 1 species
CCUGCCCAUGAGACUGGGUUUUCUCCAGGAAACCGGGGCUAAUACCGGAUAACAUUUUGAACCGCAUGGUUCGAAAUUGAAAGGCGGCUUCGGCUGUCACUUAUGGAUGGACCCGCGUCGCAUUAGCUAGUUGGUGAGGUAACGGCUCACCAAGGCAACGAUGCGUAGCCGACCUGAGAGGGUGAUCGGCCACACUGGGACUGAGACACGGCCCAGACUCCUACGGGAGGCAGCAGUAGGGAAUCUUCCGCAAUGGACGAAAGUCUGACGGAGCAACGCCGCGUGAGUGAUGAAGGCUUUCGGGUCGUAAAACUCUGUUGUUAGGGAAGAACAAGUGCUAGUUGAAUAAGCUGGCACCUUGACGGUACCUAACCAGAAAGCCACGGCUAACUACGUGCCAGCAGCCGCGGUAAUACGUAGGUGGCAAGCGUUAUCCGGAAUUAUUGGGCGUAAAGCGCGCGCAGGUGGUUUCUUAAGUCUGAUGUGAAAGCCCACGGCUCAACCGUGGAGGGUCAUUGGAAACUGGGAGACUUGAGUGCAGAAGAGGAAAGUGGAAUUCCAUGUGUAGCGGUGAAAUGCGUAGAGAUAUGGAGGAACACCAGUGGCGAAGGCGACUUUCUGGUCUGUAACUGACACUGAGGCGCGAAAGCGUGGGGACCAAACAGGAUUAGAUACCCUGGUAGUCCACGCCGUAAACGAUGAGUGCUAAGUGUUUAGAGGGUUUCCGCCCUUUUAGUGCUGAAGUUUAACGCAUUAAGCACUCCGCCUGGGGGAGUACGGGCCGCAAGGCUGAAACUCAAAGGGAAUUUGGACGGGGGCCCGCACAAGCGGUGGGAGCAUGUGGUUUUAAUUCCGAAGCAACGCGGAAGAACCCUUACCAGGGUCCUUGGACAUCCCUCUGACAACCCCUAAGAGAUAGG